rnacentral:rRNA from 1 species
CACGUGCACCCACUUGCACUGCUACGCAACAUGCCGUGGUCGACUCCUCGGGAACGGAAGAAGGCACCACAACACAAGAACGUUAUCCUCCCAGACCGUGUCCACGACUCCACGUGUGUGCACUCUCCCAGAGGCAGAGCUGCCUAUCUCCGCCCCGCCAAUCAACGUCUUCCAGUAGCAACCUCACGCAUGGAGGAGAGCAUGGUGCAGCCCAAGAGUAGGCCCCGCGAGUGAGCCCGCCCGCCCUCCGCCCUGCCUGCCAUGGCAGCCUCCCUCCUCUCUCCCUCGGCUCACUGCCACUGCAUUACCACGCCCACCAGGGGAACCGGAACGCCGCUGCCUUCCCCGCGGUGCCACCCACCAGCUCCGCUGCGCCGGCCGCGGCCGCGGGGCGCGGUGCUGGUGGCGAGAGGCGCCGCGGUGCCUCCCGAGCAAAGCUUGACGCCUCAGUACCAGACGCUGGGCGACGCCAAGGCUGCGCUGUACCAAGCUCUGGAAGGUAUCGACAGAGGAAUAUUUGGCAUAACCUCCGCGAAAAGGUCCCAGAUUCAUGCUCUGGUGGAGCUCUUGGAGUCCCGGAAUCCUACACCGAAUCCCACCGACAAAUUGCACGACAAGGUGGACGGCUGCUGGAGGCUCAUCUACAGCACGAUUUCGAUUCUGGGAAAAAGGAGAACCAAGCUGGGCCUGCGAGAUUUCAUUAGCCUCGGGGAUUUCCUCCAGAUAAUCGAUGUCAAGGAGGAAAAGGCGGUGAGUGUCAUAAAGUUCAGCGCAAGAGCAUUGAAGAUAUUCUCAGGCCAACUUGCUAUUGAAGCAUCCUACACUAUCACUACAAAAACACCUGUGGUGUCUUGUUUCAGAGAGUGGGUAUCAAGCUUGAGAGUUCAACAAUCACCCCAGAUCAGUUGAUGAAUAUCUUCCAGAAGAACUACGACAUGCUCCUUGCCAUAUUCAACCCAGAAGGUUGGCUCGAGAUAACAUAUGUUGACGAAUCUCUACGGAUCGGCAGAGAUGACAAGGCAAACAUCUUUGUUCUAGAGAAAACAGACCCAUCUCAAGUGUAAGAAGAUCCACGAAGCAAAAUGUGUGCAAAUAUUCGUAAUUUCUGACAAUGAGUGCAUCGACACUCAGAGAAGAUGCCACCUUAACGUAUUCCGCGGCACAAAUGAUUGUUAACAGCUCAGUGCAGAUCAUCGAUUCAACCACUCAUCAAUUUCUCCUGAAAAGGAUAAGCAGCAUUCUUUUUUACGACCAUAGAAACAUUUGUUUUUUGGAUUUUUUUAGCUGUGCACUGUCAACGUAUCAAUGUAAGUAUGUAACUAUGAAAGUUCAGUUACAUAGAGAAUCAAACCGCCCCAUCAUAGGGAGCAAUUAAACAACUAUCCAAUUUUGAAAUACAAUAUUUUUUCAAAUACCUGUCAAAGU